GAUGAACGCUAGCGGCAGGCCUAAUACAUGCAAGUCGAACGGUAACAGGUCCAGCAAUGGAUGCUGACGAGUGGCGCACGGGUGCGUAACGCGUAUGCAAUCUACCUUUAACUGGUGAAUAGCCCGAAGAAAUUCGGAUUAACACACCAUAGUAUAUUAGAGUAGCAUUACUCAAAUAUUAAAACUCCGGUGGUUAAAGAUGAGCAUGCGUGACAUUAGCUAGUUGGUGAGGUAAUGGCUCACCAAGGCAACGAUGUCUAGGGGAUCUGAGAGGAUUAACCCCCACACUGGUACUGAGACACGGACCAGACUCCUACGGGAGGCAGCAGUAAGGAAUAUUGGACAAUGGUCGCAAGACUGAUCCAGCCAUGCCGCGUGAAGGAUGACGGCCCUAUGGGUUGUAAACUUCUUUUGUAUGGGAAAAAACCUCUCUACGUGUAGAGAGCUGAUGGUACCAUAAGAAUAAGGAUCGGCUAACUCCGUGCCAGCCGCCGCGGUAAUAC
rnacentral:rRNA from 1 species